AGUGAACGCUGGCGGUAGGCCUAACACAUGCAAGUCGAACGGCAGCACAGUAAGAGCUUGCUCUUACGGGUGGCGAGUGGCGGACGGGUGAGGAACACAUCCGAAUCUACUUUUUCGUGGGGGAUAACGUAGGGAAACUUACCCUAAUACCGCAUACGACCUACGGGUGAAAGCAGGGGAUCUUCGGACCUUGCGCGAUUGAAUGAGCCGAUGUCGGAUUAGCUAGUUGGCGGGGUAAAGGCCCACCAAGGCGACGAUCCGUAGCUGGUCUGAGAGGAUGAUCAGCCACACUGGAACUGAGACACGGUCCAGACUCCUACGGGAGGCAGCAGUGGGGAAUAUUGGACAAUGGGCGCAAGCCUGAUCCAGCCAUACCGCGUGGGUGAAGAAGGCCUUCGGGUUGUAAAGCCCUUUUGUUGGGAAAGAAAAGCAGCAGGUUAAUACCCCGCUGUUCUGACGGUACCCAAAGAAUAAGCACCGGCUAACUUCGUG
rnacentral:rRNA from 1 species